UACGUAGGUGACAAGCGUUGUCCGGAUUUACUGGGCGUAAAGAGCGCGCAGGCGGUCGUUCAAGUCGAGUGUGAAAGCCCCCGGCUCAACUGGGGAGGGUCACUCGAUACUGAUCGACUCGAAGGCAGGAGAGGGAAGUGGAAUUCCCGGUGUAGUGGUGAAAUGCGUAGAUAUCGGGAGGAACACCAGUGGCGAAGGCGACUCCUGGCCUGUUCUUGACGCUGAGGCGCGAAAGCUAGGGGAGCAAACGGG
rnacentral:rRNA from 1 species